rnacentral:rRNA from 1 species
AUUGAACGCUGGCGGCAUGCUUUACACAUGCAAGUCGAACGGUAACAGGCCGCAAGGUGCUGACGAGUGGCGAACGGGUGAGUAAUGCAUCGGAACGUGCCCAGUCGUGGGGGAUAACGCAGCGAAAGCUGCGCUAAUACCGCAUACGAUCUAUGGAUGAAAGCGGGGGACCGUAAGGCCUCGCGCGAUUGGAGCGGCCGAUGUCAGAUUAGGUAGUUGGUGGGGUAAAGGCUCACCAAGCCAACGAUCUGUAGCUGGUCUGAGAGGACGACCAGCCACACUGGGACGAGGACACGGCCAGGACUCCUACGGGAGGCAGCAGUGGGGAAUUUUGGACAAUGGGCGCAAGCCUGAUCCAGCCAUGCCGCGUGGGUGAAGAAGGCCUUCGGGUUGUAAAGCCCUUUUGUCCGGAAAGAAACGCCUCGGAUUAAUACUCUGGGGUAAUGACGGUACCGGAAGAAUAAGCACCGGCUAACUUCGUGCCAGCAGCCGCCGUAAAAC